rnacentral:rRNA from 1 species
AGUUGGUUACGGUUAACGUCCGACGUAACGACGCGACCAACCCUCCGCCGUAUGUUACAAGUGUCAUACGGGACUGCCGGUAAAAAGCCGGAGGAAGGUGAGGAUGAUGUCAAGUCAGCAUGACCUUUAUAUCCAGGGCUACACACACGCUACAAUGGUCUGUACAAUUGGUUGCCAAGCCGCGAGGCGGAGCCAAUCCGUAAAGCAGGCCUCAGUUCAGAUUGCAGUCUGCAACUCGACUGCAUGAAGCCGGAGUUGCUAGUAACCGCAGGUCAGCAAUACUCGCGGUCGAAUACGUUCCCGGGCCUU